UACGUAGGGGGCAAGCGUUGUCCGGAUUUAUUGGGCGUAAAGAGCUCGUAGGCGGCUCACUAAGUCGGAUGUGAAAACUCCAGGCUCAACCUGGAGACGCCAUUCGGUACUGGUGUGGCUUGAGUUCGGUAGGGGAGCACGGAAUUCCUGGUGUAGCGGUGAAAUGCGCAGAUAUCAGGAGGAACACCGGUGGCGAAGGCGGUGCUCUGGGCCGAAACUGACGCUGAGGAGCGAAAGCGUGGGUAGCAAACAGG
rnacentral:rRNA from 1 species